UGAUGGAACUCUGGAGAGCCCUUUAAGUAGGCACCGAAGGCGUAAAGGCAAAGUUAUACUUUGCGAAAACUCUCAGGUAAAAAUACAGAGGUAUAUAA
rnacentral:ncRNA from 2 species